UACAGAGGUCCCAAGCGUUGUUCGGAUUCACUGGGCGUAAAGGGUGCGUAGGCGGUCGGGUAAGUCUGAUGUGAAAUCUCACAGCUUAACUGUGAAACUGCAUUGGAUACUAUCCGGCUAGAGGAAUGGAGGGGAGACGUGGAAUACUUGGUGUAGCAGUGAAAUGCGUAGAUAUCAAGUGGAACACCAGUGGCGAAGGCGAGUCUCUGGACAUUUCCUGACGCUGAGGCACGAAAGCCAGGGGAGCAAACGGG
rnacentral:rRNA from 1 species